rnacentral:rRNA from 1 species
GUCCACGCCCUAAACGAUGUCAACUAGGUGUUGGGGAGGAGACUUCCUUAGUACCGCAGCUAACGCGUGAAGUUGACCGCCUGGGGAGUACGGUCGCAAGAUUAAAACUCAAAGGAAUUGACGGGACCCGCACAAGCGGUGGAUUAUGUGGAUUAAUUCGAUGCAACGCGAAAACCUUACCUACCCUUGACAUGCCAGGAACUUGCCAGAGAUGGCUUGGUGCCCGAAAGGGAGCCUGGACACAGGUGCUGCAUGGCUGUCGU